rnacentral:rRNA from 1 species
AUACGGAGGGUGCAAGCGUUACUCGGAAUCACUGGGCGUAAAGCGCGCGCAGGCGGCUAUUUAAGUUGGAUGUGAAAGCCUACGGCUCAACCGUAGAACUGCAUCCAAAACUAUUUAGCUAGAGUGUGGGAGAGGAAGAUGGAAUUAGUUGUGUAGGGGUAAAAUCCGUAGAGAUAACUAGGAAUACCAAAAGCGAAGGCAAUCUUCUGGAACACUACUGACGCUGAGGCGCGAAAGCGGGGGGAGCAAACAGGAUUAGAAACCCUAGUAGUCC